GCUGGCGGCACGCCUUAUACAUGCAAGUCGAACGCAGUAGCAAUACUGAGUGGCAGACGGGUGAGUAUAAUGUGGGAAUCUGCCUUUUGGUUUGGAAUAACUCGGGGAAACCUGAGCUAAUACUGGAUAAGCCCUUACGGGGAAAGCUUUACGCGCCAAAAGAUGAGCCCGCACUUGAUUAGCUUGUUGGUGAGGUAAAAGCUCACCAAGGCAACGAUCAAUAGCUGUUCUUAGAGGAAGACCAGCCACAUUGGGACUGAGACACGGCCCAGACUCCUACGGGAGGCAGCAGUAAGGAAUCUUGCACAAUGGGGGAAACCCUGAUGCAGCGAUGCCGCGUGAGUGAAGAAGGCCUUUGGGUUGUAAAACUCUUUCGUCGGGGAAGAAAAUGACUGUACCCGAAUAAGAAGGUCCGGCUAACUUCGUGCCAGCAGCCGCGGUAAUACGAAGGGACCUAGCGUAGUUCGGAAUUACUGGGCUUAAAGAGCUCGUAGGUGGUUAAAAAAGUUGGUGGUGAAAUCCCAAGGCUCAACCUUGGAACUGCCAUCAAAACUUUUUAGCUUGAGUAUGAUAGAGGAAAGUGGAAUUUCUAGUGUAGAGGUGAAAUUCGUAGAUAUUAGAAAGAACACCAAAUGCGAAGGCAACUUUCUGGAUCAUUACUGACACUGAGGAGCGAAAGCAUGGGUAGCGAAGAGGAUUAGAUACCCUCGUAGUCCAUGCUGUAAACGAUGUGUGCUAGACGUUGGAAAUUUAUUUUUCAGUGUCGCAGCAAAAGCGUUAAGCACACCGCCUGGGGAGUACGACCGC
rnacentral:rRNA from 1 species